rnacentral:rRNA from 1 species
UGUGGUCAAGCUGCUAAGGGCACAUGGGGGAUGCCUAGGCGUCGAGAGGCGAAGAAGGACGUGGUAGGCUGCGAAAAGCUCCGGGGAGCCGUCAAACGGGCCUUGAUCCGGAGAUGUCCGAAUGGGGCAACCCAACGUCACUGUGCAAGCAGAUGGCGUUAUCGGCGGAUGAAUGCAUAGUCCGCUGGAAGCCAACCCGGGGAACUGAAACAUCUCAGUACCCGGAGGAAAGGAAAUCAACCGAGACUCCGUCAGUAGCGGCGAGCGAAAGCGGAAGAGCCCAAACCCGCCUUCGGGCGGGGGUUGCGGAAGCCGAGAGGAGUUACAAAGGCACCGCCAGCAGAAGUGCCUGGAAAGGCACGCCGGAGAAGGUGACAGCCCUGUAUGCAAAAGCGGACGCCCUCCGUUACCAUCGGCUAUCCAGAGUAGCACCUGGCUCGUGGAACCUGGUGUGAAGCUGGGGGGCCCACCCUCCAAGGCUAAGUACUCCUCGACGACCGAUAGUGGACAAGUAGGGUGACUGAAUGGUGAAAAGAACCUCUACAAGAGGAGUUCAAAGAACCUGAAACCAUGUGCCUACAAGCUGUGGGAGCCCUAUGGUCCGCCUUCGGGCGGGCAACGGGUGACCGCGUGCCUUUUGCAUAAUGAGCCGGCGAGUUACCGUCUACGGCCAGGUUAAUCCGCUCAGCGGAGUAGCCGCAGCGAAAGCGAGUCUGAACAGGGCGAUACAGUCGUAGGUGGUAGACCCGAAACUGCGUGAUCUACCCAUGGCCAGGUUGAAGUGCCCGUAACAGGGCGCGGAGGACCGAAGCCGUGAACGUUGAAAAGUUCUGGCAUGAGCUGUGGGGAGGAGUAAAAGUCUAAUCAAACGCAGAGAUAUCUGGUUCUCCCCGAAAUCGCUUUUGGGCUAGCCUCGGGCCACUACGCUGCGGGGGUAGAGCGACUGGAUGAAUCGCGGGGCCUACCCGGCUACCGCCUUCAACCAAACUCCGAAUACCGCGGCGACUAUCCCGGGAGUCAGAAUGCGAGGGAUAAUCUUCGUGAUCAAGAGGGAAACAACCCAGACCGUCCGCUAAGGUCCCUAAUUCAUGCUGAGUGCGAAAGGAAGUUCGAUCUCUAAGACAGCGGGGAUGUUGGCUUAGAAGCAGCCACCAUUUAAAAAGUGCGUAAUAGCUUACC